GAUUACACGCAAGACGGAACCGUCGAUCUCCGGGGAAACCCUGUCCGGCGAUCCAAGCGUGGCAGAUGGACCGCCUGCUCCUUUAUCGUUGUAUAUGAAGUCUUCGAGAGGAUGGCAUACUUUGGAAUCUCAUCCAACCUCGUCGUGUACUUGACCACGAAGCUUCACCAAGGCACGGUCCAAUCGGCCAACAACGUCACCAACUGGGUCGGCACCAGUUGGAUCACUCCCAUCCUCGGCGCGUAUGUCGCGGACGCCCAUCUCGGCCGCUAUUGGACCUUCGUCAUUGGGUCGGGCAUCUAUCUCGCGGGCAUGUUGGUGUUGACCCUGGCCGUCUCGCUUCCGCGGACUCAAGCCGCCUCCGUGCUCGGCACCCAAUGCCAGCAAUUGCAAGAAGGCCUCCCUGCUGCAACUCGCCGUCUUCUACGGUGGGCUGUACACGCUGGUGGUCGGGACCAGCGGGACCAAGCCCAACAUCUCGACGAUCGGUGCGGACCAGUUCGACGAUUUCGACACGAAGGAGAAGGCCCACAAGCUCUCCUUCUUCGACUGGUGGAUGUUCAGCGUCUUCUUCGGGACCCUCUUUGGCAACACCGUCCUCGUGUAUAUCCAGGACGAUGUGGGCUGGGCUCUUGGGUACGGUCUCCCUACCCUUGCGCUCGCGGUCGCGAUUGCUAUCUUCCUUGCGGGCACCCCUAGGUACCGGCACCGGGUGCCUGCAGGCAGCCCAAUCACGAGGAUGGCGCGGGUCAUCGUGGCCGCCACGAGGAAGUGGAAGGUGCAGAUCCCAAGCAAUCCGAACGAGCUCUAUGAGCUCGACCAGCAAGAGUAUACUGGAAAGGGGAAAUUUAAGAUCGACUUGACACCAACAUUGAGAUUCUUGAACAAAGCAUGCGUCCGAACCGGCUCGACUUCUCUGUGGAAGCUAAGCUCGGUCACCCAAGUCGAGGAGACGAAACAAAUGCUGCAGAUGAUCCCAAUCCUGCUCGCGACUUUCGUCCCAAGCUGCAUGAUGGCUCAAAUCAAUACCCUCUUCGUCAAGCAAGGAACUACCUUAGACAGAAGCAUGGGCAGCUUCAAGAUCCCCCCGGCGAGUCUAGCUGGAUUCACGACCGCACCGAUGCUCGUGUGCAUCGUGGUGUACGACCGUGUCUUCGUCAAGAUCAUGCGGAGAUGGACCAAGAACCCGAGAGGCAUCAGCCUUCUGCAGAGGAUGGGGAUCGGCCUUCUCCCCCACAUCAUGGUCAUGACCGUGGCGUCGUUCACCGAGAGAUGGAGGCUCCGAGUGGCUAGGGAACACGGUCUGGUCGAAUCGGGAGGGCAAAUCCCGCUGACGAUCUUCAUCCUGCUUCCUCAAUUCGUGCUCAUGGGAGUGGCCGACGGAUUCCUGGAAGUAGCGAAGAUGGAGUUCUUCUACGACCAAGCGCCGGAGAGCAUGAAGAGCCUGGGCACGUCUUAUGCUAUGGCCACUUUGGGGAUCGGGAACUUCAUCAGCAGCUUCCUACUAUCGACGGUCUCGCGCCUCACCGAGAGGAACGGCCACCACGGGUGGAUACUAGACAACCUGAACGCGUCGCGCCUCGACUAUUACUAUGCCUUCUUUGCAGUACUCACCCUCCUGAAUUUCGCGUUCUUUCUGUUCGUGGCGAAGCACUACGUGUAUCGCGCUGAGGUCUCAGAUUCAAUGGUGAUGCUCGAGGAAGAAUUGAAAGGGGCGGUAUCAGAGAAGGUACAUAACCUGGAAGCGCUGGCGCCAUAG